UGUGUGUGUGUGUAUAUAGCCUAGUUUAGAAGUUGGCCGGUCAUCAGUAGAGCAGUGAAGGAAGUGGUGGUUACAAAUGACUCAGCCAAGCCAUGCGUUUCGUUUUUGCUCUCUCCGGUCUCUCUCAAUGCUCUCCUCCUCCCCCAUGACAUCUGCUCUUCUCUCUGCAUUCUAUUCAUUCAUCUUUUCUCUUCUGGAUCUUGACUGUCUUACUGUCAUCUUUUUAUUUCCCACCCCACAUCUUUACUCCCUUCUGAUUGAACCAAGCCUCUGGGGGUUAUCUCUGAGCAUGUGUGUGUGUGUGUGUGUGUGUGUUUAGUUGUGUACUUGUGAAGUAAAUGCAGAAAAAUGUGUGUGGGAUGAUAGCAGGUUUCCUUCAGAGUGAUUAAAACAGUCUUUCUCUCUCUUGUUUCCUCUUUUCCCUCUUAGUGUUCACUGAAAACCUGAUGAAGAGGAGGACGAAGAGACACAAACUGGGCUGGGGGACAGGUGGGAGGAGUUUCCACCAGGUUUAGUCAUGGAUGGAGAAAACACCUCAGUGGAGCCUGUCGGUUCAGGGGUCCACAUCUCUUUGCUGAGUCAGUUUGGGUCCAGGACAACAUCAACAUCAUGAGAUGGGAAGGGUGGUGACCGCAGGCAGCGAUGGAGGAGGUGGUGCUGUGUGUCGUGGUUAGCAGCUGCGAGGUGCUCGGAAACUAAAUGGUGCUGUGGAGCUCCCACGGGGGAUAAUGAGCUCAAAUGUUAAAGGGAAGGACAAAGUUAAGAGGUUUUGAGGGGCAGUAAGUGUUUCUUUUAUCGACACGUUGCAUUAGAUGACCAUAAAAACAGCAGCUGGAGAUUAAUGUGGCUGUUUGUUUUUACUGGGGCUGAAGGUUCACUUGUUUUUCCCUUUUAUAUAUUUUGUUAGAACAAUCUUUACUCUCAGUUAUGCUGCUGAAAUCCCAUCUGGCUGUAGGGGAACAAGGAGGAAACUGCCUUCUCCCUGGAGGCUGGUUCAUGACAAGAUGUGCAGUUUCUCAGCCUAGUAUUUUAAAGGUAUAUUCAGUUAUUUUGUAUUGUGUUUGUGUAUGAAAUGCAUUAAUAUCUAGACUGUUGUAAAUAGCCUCAUGAAUAGCUUUUGCUCUAUAAGACUGAAGAGCUGUAAACAAAGUGCCUUGCUGCCAUCUUAAAAUGACAAUAUUUAGGAAACAUUUCAUUCUUUAUGCUGGAUUUAACCCCAAGAUGCAGAAUUAUUACAUUUUGGUGACUUUAGGGCUGAGUGGUAUGGAAGAAAAAAUAUAUAAACAUAUCAUUUUUCACAUCAGUCGAUAUUUUAUGUUCUCUGGUACCUUUAAGUGAUAUUUGUCAUGAAAAAUUAUAUGGCUGAUUUCGAAUAAAUAAAGGGGUAGGGGGUGAAGAGGUACAGAUUUUUAUGUAAUCUUGGAAAUGGACAAAAAAAAACUACCGGUACACAACAUACACUAAAAAAGAGUCCCGGUACGCUAAGAGGUCAAAUUAAAAGUACUGUACCGGUAACGCAUACCGGUACGCACUGGCCCUCUCAAAGCACUGCUAGGACACGUUAUGUCAGAAUAUAAAUUGCUAUCUUUCUAUCACCCAGCCCUAGAUGAUAUUUACACCUGCAAAUAACGAGGGCUGCCCUGUCAGCAAGCUUGGACCCAUUUGUACCCACCUGCAGAGAGCAGCCCCUACGCAUUUAGGAACUGAUCAUUUUAUGGUUGAAAAAAAAAACGCAUGUAAAUGUAUUUUUUUGAAGUUAUAAAGAGAUGCUGAGACAAAAACUGUUAUGUCACUGAAAUGGAAAACCAAAAUAUCUGUUAUUUUUUUGCAAAAAUAUUUAUCUUAUGAAAUCUGUUGAAUAAAUGUUGUAUAUACAGUAACUGUAUGUGAAUUUCUGUUAAUACGUUGUUCUAAAAAUACACUGAAAUUUCUAAUACUUACAA